CAGCUCCCGUGGACGGCGCGGGGGCCGGCGGCAAGCAAGCGAAGCCCGCGACGGCAACCGCAGGCGACGCGGAGAUGUCGAAGAGCAGGGCGGUGAGGCUGAGCAGGCGGCUGAAGCAGCUCAACGGCUACUCGUCCCUGUGCAACGUGCUGUCCCUGAUGUCACUCACCUGGCACCUCGUGCACCUGGCGCGCCGCCUGCACGCCGGCACCGCCUGCUAGGUUGAUGAUGUGGAUGGAGCUCAUGGCAGCUGUCGUGCUGGGUCUCUUGUAGGAGUACUUCUUGGUUUCUGACGUGAAUGUGACACGUUG
rnacentral:lncRNA from 1 species